CGUGUAGGCGGCUGGAUAAGUCAGAUGUGAAAUCCCUGGGCUUAACCCAGGAAGUGCAUUUGAAACUGUCCGGCUUGAGUAAGGGAGAGGAAAGUGGAAUUCCUGGUGUAGAGGUGAAAUUCGUAGAUAUCAGGAGGAACACCGGUGGCGAAGGCGACUUUCUGGCCCUAUACUGACGCUGAGACGCGAAAGCGUGGGUAGCAAACA
rnacentral:rRNA from 1 species